rnacentral:rRNA from 1 species
CAGUCUGAUCGCUCGAGCACCAGCUUGCUGGUGUGGAUGAGUGGCGAACGGGUGAGUAAUACGUGAGUAACCUGCCCUUGACUCUGGGAUAAGCCCGGGAAACUGGGUCUAAUACUGGAUGCUACAUGUCACCGCAUGGUGGUGUGUGGAAAGGGUUUACUGGUCUUGGAUGGGCUCACGGCCUAUCAGCUUGUUGGUGAGGUAAUGGCUCACCAAGGCGACGACGGGUAGCCGGCCUGAGAGGGUGACCGGCCACACUGGGACUGAGACACGGCCCAGACUCCUACGGGAGGCAGCAGUGGGGAAUAUUGCACAAUGGGCGAAAGCCUGAUGCAGCGACGCCGCGUGAGGGAUGACGGCCUUCGGGUUGUAAACCUCUUUCAGCAGGGAAGAAGCCACAAGUGACGGUACCUGCAGAAGAAGCGCCGGCUAACUACGUGCCAGCAGCCGCGGUAAUACGUAGGGCGCAAGCGUUGUCCGGAAUUAUUGGGCGUAAAGAGCUCGUAGGCGGUUUGUCGCGUCUGCUGUGAAAGCCCGGGGCUUAACCCCGGGUGUGCAGUGGGUACGGGCAGACUAGAGUGCAGUAGGGGAGACUGGAAUUCCUGGUGUAGCGGUGGAAUGCGCAGAUAUCAGGAGGAACACCGAUGGCGAAGGCAGGUCUCUGGGCUGUUACUGACGCUGAGGAGCGAAAGCAUGGGGA